AGCGGCGGACGGGUGAGUAACGCGUGGGUAACCUACCCUGUACACACGGAUAACAUACCGAAAGGUAUGCUAAUACGGGAUAAUAUAUUUGAGAGGCAUCUCUUAAAUAUCAAAGGUGAGCCAGUACAGGAUGGACCCGCGUCUGAUUAGCUAGUUGGUAAGGUAACGGCUUACCAAGGCGACGAUCAGUAGCCGACCUGAGAGGGUGAUCGGCCACAUUGGAACUGGGACACGGUCCAA
rnacentral:rRNA from 1 species